rnacentral:rRNA from 1 species
UACGUAGGGUGCGAGCGUUGUCCGGAAUUAUUGGGCGUAAAGAGCUCGUAGGCGGUCUGUCGCGUCUGCUGUGAAAUCCCGAGGCUCAACCUCGGGCUUGCAGUGGGUACGGGCAGGCUAGAGUGCGGUAGGGGAGAAUGGAACUCCUGGUGUAGCGGUGAAAUGCGCAGAUAUCAGGAGGAACACCGGUGGCGAAGGCGGGUCUCUGGGCCGUAACUGACGCUGAGGAGCGAAAGCGUGGGGAGCGAACAGG